GUCAUAAUGGCAAUGUGCCUCCAAACCUUGAUAGAGGCCAAGACUACCAGCCACUUAGGAAUUCUUCUGCUUGGGUCAGGCUUGGUGGUGCAUGCCUGUAAUCCCAGCACUUUGGGAGGCCGAGGCUAGAGGAUUGCUUGAGCUUAGGAGUUUGAGAUCAGCCUGGGCAACGUGAGCACAUUUUUCACUGCAUAGACAGCUGUGUACUUGAAGAAUGUAAACAUGAAGAAAACACUGAGUUCAAUAAAUGUGUCUUCUAUGUGCCAGGUCCUGUGGUAUU
rnacentral:lncRNA from 1 species